rnacentral:rRNA from 1 species
UACGUAGGUGGCAAGCGUUGUCCGGAAUUAUUGGGCGUAAAGAGCUCGUAGGCGGUCUGUUGCGUCCGCUGUGAAAACUCGGGGCUUAACCCCGAGCCUGCAGUGGAUACGGGCAGACUAGAGGUAGGUAGGGGAGAAUGGAAUUCCCGGUGUAGCGGUGAAAUGCGCAGAUAUCGGGAGGAACACCGGUGGCGAAGGCGGUUCUCUGGGCCUUACCUGACGCUGAGGCGCGAAAGCCAGGGGAGCGAACGGA